ensembl:lncRNA
AGAUAAUAUAGAAGACAGCGCGCUAGCGUAUCUAGUCUGUGUGUAUCUAUGGUCGGAACGUCUGGUAGCAUCUCUGGCUGCUGUUGACCUUGUUUUUGGAGUAAAACACGGUGGAAGCUGAAUUAGUGAGGAUGACUCCUGCUCCUGUCAUCUCUAAGCUCCUCACACAUCUUUACCUGCACAUGAGGAAAAUCACUCCUGUAGAAUGCAGUGGUUCAUCAGAACCUCUGGGGAUGUCCUGUGGAUCCUGUGGAUCCUGUGGGUUGCAGGGUGGGUCCUACCUAGACCAGACUGAUCCUGGACCAUCCCACAGAUGCUCCAUCAGAUCUGGAUGUGGGGAGUGUGGAACCCAGAUGUUCAGAGGGAGAUGAUGCCACAUCUGGUCCAGCUGAUGGAAGGUCUUGAAGUUCUCUGACUGGCCUCAACUGAAGAUGGUCGUCUCACUGGAUUUAAGGUUCAGAUGCUCAGUAACAAACUCCACCAAUGAGCCAACAGGGAAGCUUUAGGUUUAUUAAAUGUUGCUAUGAAGGUAUCGCUGUUUUUCUUUGUGAAUGCAAUGUGCUCCAACUGAAACUUGAAUUAGAACUUAGAAGUAAAUCCUUCCAUCUGACAGGAUUUAGUUGCAUUAAUAACCUCAUAACAUUCUAAUUUUUAUUCCAGUCUUGGUUGGAAAUAGAAUCUCUGUAUUGAUUCAGGUAAAAACUGAACUUCACAGCAUGUUGGAGCAAAACAACCAGAUGAAAACUGAUGGUGUUGGAUUGUCAGACUGUAAUGUUGCAGCUCACAGCAGCUUUUCUAGCUCAGUUCAUUCUGACAUUCAGCUAUGAAUCAACACAGCAGAUGGUGAUCCAUGCUGUGGAAGUCUCACAUCUCCUGAUUUAAUGGAGCUGCUUUGCACUUUUUACACUGUUUAUUCACCAACACUUUAUUUAAUAAAAGUCCCAUCUAGUUUUUAUGAGGAAUGUGAUGUUUUAAUUUCUCUGUGAAUAACUGCAGUCUAAUGCAACAGCUGGAGUUGUAACAUCUGUCCUGAUAUUGAUCAUGAAGUAUUGAUCAGAAUACUUAUGGUUAGCAGUCAUCCCUGUAGUUUUACAUUAAAAUCUUUACUUGUGUUGUGAACUUUGGCAAGAAGCAGAAACGUUAGCGUUGCCAUGGAUACAUGAGUGUUAAAUUCUGUCCAUGUUUCCAUUUUGGGAAAUUCAGUCCAGUUCCAGAAUGUGGAGGAAUUUAGUCUCAAUCACAGACAACAAAUAUUAUCUGAAAGUCGGGUUAUUGUUGUUUAUCAGCACAAUACAAAAAGAUUAAUGUCAGAAAUAUUCCAGUUAAGACUCUAGAAUAUCAUGAUUUAUGUAAAUGUACCUCAAUAAUAUGAAUGUUCAGGUUAAGAUUGUACAGUGAUAUUUAUUAUGUAAGUUUAGCUGAUUAAAGUUUAUGACUCUGCACUAAAAUAUUAUUUAAAUUAACAUCAUUAUUAUAAUAUUUAGAGUCAGACCCUACAGUAUUGAGGUUAAGAAAUCAAAUAUUCUAUAAAAUGUAAAUACACUGAACUCAUUUGGAUAUAUUUAAGUGAGACUCUACAAUAUUAUUUGACACAAAUCUAUCUAAAUCAAAAUUUUAAUACUUUUCACGCCAAACACUUACUGGACUGAUUUAAAUAUUAAAAUCACUCCUUUCUAAUCCUCUGCUGUACGUUCAAACCUGAGGCCUUAAAUAGAAACACACAAGUAUCUGAUUGUAGGAACUUCUGCAGAGUCCUGGUUCCAGAACAUGAUGAUAAAAUUAUAGACAAACUUUAACAAAAGCUGCCUGAGAGUUUACAGGUUUUUAUGUUAGAUUUCUUCAGUAAUUUAUUGAGAGUUAUCAGCAAUAAUCAAGUGAUCAUUUGAUGAACUUCAUUUACUAAAACAUCCAGAAUUGGAGCUCAUAUCUUUGGCAGCUGUAAAGUUUCUGCUCCUUCAAAGUUCACAACACAAUGAAUGAAUUCCUAAAACACUCUCAAUGCUGGAGAGCGUUUGUGAUGCUGAAGCAGUGACCAAUUUUUCUGUUUCUUCUCUGGAGAUGCACAAUGAGGGACGUCUGCAGCGACUGAGAAAGAGUCUCACCACAUCCUGACAUGAGGAAAAAGACUUUAUUGAAGACUACAAUGAGAAAAACUAUCAGACAGCAGACGGCUGCAUUCAAGUCUGUAGCUGCUGAAUUCAUGGAUGAAUCAUCUGGCACUAGAGAAGAAGACCAUCAAACAUCCAUGUCAGCUGAUGGAGGUCCAAGAGUCUCACCGAACAAACAACCUACAGAGUGAAGACCUCGAAUCUGAUUGGACGGCCUCCUAUUCAGCCACAUUUUAGGCUGUUAGAUUGUUCCAGAUAAGACAAGUAAAAGAUACUUCAGAGCCGUUCUACCACGAGCCUGACAGGAAGAACUCCAACAGCUACUGAAUGUUCCUGUGGUUCCCUCAAGGCUACAGGAGGAGUCCUACGAGGACGAGCAGGUCCACCUGAUGGCGGCCAGUCGCUGUGGUUCAAAGCCAACACUGACUACGUGGACUUCUACUGGACCACACGGAGGCCUUCAAACCGGAACAACAAGUUCACCGACUCCCCGACUCGUGGGUCUGAGGACACCGCCGAGCCUCAGUCCAGCCGGCCUCCUUUCUGUGGGUGUUUGAGUGCUGAGAGGUUUGUGGAUGCGUGUGAACGUGUCUGUGUUGAAACAGCAGCUUUUGACUCAGGCCUUGUCCACACGUAGCCGGGUAUCUCACAAAACGAAGAUAUUUUUCUACGAUUCGGCUUAUCAUCCACACGAAAACGCAGAUUUACGUCAUCAAAAACGAUUCAUUUUAAAAACUCCGACCAAAGUGAAG